AGGAUUAACGCUGGCGGCGUGCAUGAAACAUGCAAGUCGAGCGCGGUGUGAUGCGGGGUAACCCAAUUCACAUCUAGCGGCGAACGGGUGAGUAACACGUGAGCAACCUACCUUUGAGUUGGGGAUAGCCCUGGGAAACCAGGAUUAAUACCCGAUGUGGUCACAACAGGACAUCCUGAUGUGAGUAAAGGCGCAAGCCGCUCAAUGACGGGCUCGCGGCCUAUUAGCUUGUUGGUGGGGUAACGGCCUACCAAGGCGAUGAUGGGUAGCUGGUCUGAGAGGACGAUCAGCCACACUGGGACUGAGACACGGCCCAGACUCCUACGGGAGGCAGCAGUUAGGAAUUUUCCGCAAUGGGCGAAAGCCUGACGGAGCAACGCCGCGUGAGUGAUGAAGACCUUAGGGUUGUAAAGCUCUGUCGGAGGGAAGAACACAAUGACGGUACCUCCAAGAAAGCCCGGCUAACUACGUGCCAGCAGCCGCGGUAAU
rnacentral:rRNA from 1 species